AAAAGGGCCAAAAGGAGACUCGAUAACUGAUAGAUUUUCUUAUAUGGGUUUACCGGGAGACCAAGGAUUCCCAGGGCCAAUGGGCUAUCCUGGUUUUCCGGGAAAUCCAGGUCUUCAAG